UUUUUUUUGUUCCAGAACAGAAUUUUCAAAUAUUGCCCAUGGCAGAUAGUGUGUAGUCCUUGAUCUGAGUUGCUUGAAGUAGUGGACUUGCCCAAUAAAUUGAAAUGCAUAACAAACUAAUUAGCAAAGAUACCAACUCUUAAACUUAUUAGUUUAUGGCACAUACAGUCAAACCUCGAUAUAUCGAACACGGAUAUAUCGAAUUAUUGCGUAUAUCGAACACUUUCUUUAUCACGUGGAAAAUCGCAUGCAUUUUUAAUUUUUUAUUUCGAACGGGGCCGGAUGUAAAAUGGAUAUAUCGAACUCCGCCGCCCCAGACCAAGUGCGCUCUGUUGACAGGAGGCGAGCUUUCCCGCAACACUCUCGAAGAUAGCGGCGGCGCGAUGGGCGUUCCGGACUUUCCGGACUAGGGUGCCUCGAUGUCCUCCUCGCCCGGAGCGGCGGGCGAGGAGGACAUCGAGGCACCCUAUUCCGGACGGCUGCGUACGACAGCUGCCCACAUCGGUUGCGCCGAGGGCGCCAUUUGAACGUGGCGGCGUACACACGCGGCGGCUUGGAGCCAGCACGGCCGCCUCGAUCAAGCGCGCACGGCGGGGCAAGCCGCCUCGAUUACGCGCGCACGGCGGGGCUUGCCCCCGCCGUGCGCGCGUGAUCGAGGCGGCCGUGGAGCCAGUUGGAGCGCUUUGUCGGUGCUGAGCCACACAGCAUGUGCAUUGAGGACUUCGUUGGCGGUGACGACAGCACCGGAACAGUGGCGGAGUUUGCUCGAGCCGCCCAUCGCCGCAAGCCGCACCGCACGCGUGCGGUCGCGCGAAAUAUUGCACGUAUCAAACACUUGUGCACAAAUUUCGGUUUACGAUGUGUAAGGUAUACACUGUGCACACAGUGUAAACGGUAAUUUGUGCACAAGUGCUGGAUACGUGCAAUUUUUCGCGCGACCGCAAGCGUGCGGUGCGGCGAUGGGCGACUCGAGCGUAACCGUUUGGACUAUGUUGAGGACGCCGUGGUCAAGCACGCGGUUGCCAAUAUGAAGUAGGCUACGCUGCUUCAGUACUUUCAGCAAACAAAAUAAAUACUUUGUUUGAAGCUUCAUCUGUCAAGUCUGCAAGGCAUAUCUACUAGGAGCAAAUAGUGAGGAUGGCACUGGUUUUGAGAUAUGCAUCGUGAAGCUUAAGGGGCCCGAUGACUGUUUGCAAAAUUCAUCCACUUAGGCAGCCUGAUCACAAGUUGCAAUAAAGCUGUGCAAGUUUUACAAAGUUGCUCCACUUAUUUGCAUGCAAAGGCCAUUAUGGGCCUAGAACAAGCAUAACUAAUAACAUCCAUUUUAUGUCCAGAGCCUGGGAUAUAACCUCCAUCCCGCAUCCAAAUAACAUCUGAAAAAGACCCCGCCGGGACUUCCGUGGGACAUCCUUUGGUGUUUCACAAGGGAGGUUUUCUGGAUUAGCAUAUGACAUUUUAGGAACAUCCCUGGGAUCUUCGCAACAUCCAGGACAACCACUGAACGUCCUUAGUAUGUCUGUGUGUCGUCUGGGAUAUCCACUUUUACAUCCCGAGCCUGGGAUAUAACUUCCAUCCUGCAUCCAGAUAACAUCUGAAAAACACCUGGUCAAGACCUCUGUGGGACAUCUUUCGGAGUUUCACAUGAGAGGUUUUGUGGAUUA